UUGCAUCCCAAUAAAGAACUGCCACUCCCCCCUCCUGUCACACGGUUCAAAGGAGCUGUCCCAGCGCUAGGUGACUGUAUCCCCUGCUCUGACACCCCAGCCCCAAGCUGGACAUCAGAUCUACACCCGAAAAUCUGGAAUCGACAGAGGAAUGCUGGCCUCUGUGCUGACUUGCCUGACCAGCAAUAUAGGGCUUGUCAAUCUCUAGGUCACUUGUUCAGAGGAAGAUCUGCCCACACAUAAUGACCAGCACUGAGCAGCCUGGAGCAAACAAAAGAACAGACCCCAAAUUGCAGAAGAUCAAAGUCUGAAGGUUCCUGGGGUCAGUCCGCAAGGACAGCACUCCAGGAUGAAAGCCAGCAAUUUUUGAGAAUUCAUGGAGAACAGAAGAAGAAUCAGACUGGGGACAAACAUCCCAAGCUUCAUAUACAGGAAAAGGAUCGUGCUUAUUACUCAAGGAAGUCGUGAGCACUGGAAACCAAGGAAGAUUCACUCGGAACAACGUAGGAUAACGAUGCAAAUUAUUAAGAAGAAUAUUUUAAAGGCAACAGAAUCGUGGGGUUUUGUUAACCUUGUGUAAAAUCUCUGACCAUCUGAGCUGCCAGGGAAUGCUCACGUCCAGCCUCAGUUCUUCCACAGCUGACCUCUAAGUGACUGCAGAGCUUGGUUAGAUUUGUUUCAGGAAGACACAGACACGGUUUUCAACAUGGCUGGGAGAUAAAAUGCAGAGCUAUGCAGUUGAACACAGGGCUCAAGGUACACCACACCUGGCCCACUCAGGUAUGUGUUACCUGGAAAUCCACAAUAAUGCUCAGUGUUAAGGCGGGCUUUGGAUUAUUCAAUAUUCUUUUUUUUUUUUUAAGUUUUAUUUACUUAUUUUUGAGAGAGAGAGAGAAAGAGUGUG